rnacentral:rRNA from 1 species
UACAGAGGGUGCAAGCGUUGUCCGGAAUUAUUGGGCGUAAAGAGCGUGUAGGCGGUUUGGUAGGUCCGCUGUGAAAACUCGAGCUCAACCUCGAGACGCCGGUGGAAACCAUCAGACUAGAGUCCGGAAGAGGAGAGUGGAAUUCCUGGUGUAGCGGUGAAAUGCGCAGAUAUCAGGAAGAACACCCGUGGCUAAGGCGGCUCUCUAGUACGGUACUGACGCUGAGACGCGAAAGCGUGGGGAGCGAACAGG